AAACCAUGAUAUGGAUAUUUUCUUAGCAAAGCUUUAAAUCUCUCGAAAGCUUCACAUAAUGGUUCCUCUACACCUUGAACAAAAGUAGCGAUUACAGAUUUGACCUU
rnacentral:snoRNA from 1 species